UAAGGAAUAUUGGACAAUGGACGCAAGUCUGAUCCAGCCAUGCCGCGUGAAGGAUGACUGCCCUCUGGGUUGUAAAGCACUUUUGUCCGGAAAGAAAUCCUUGGCUCUAAUACAGUCGGGGGGAUGACGGUACCGGAAGAAUAAGCACCGGCUAACUACGUGCCAGCAGCCGCGGUAAUACGUAGGGUGCAAGCGUUAAUCGGAAUUACUGGGCGUAAAGCGUGCGCAGGCGGUUUGCUAAGACCGAUGUGAAAUCCCCGGGCUCAACCUGGGAACUGCAUUGGUGACUGGCAGGCUAGAGUAUGGCAGAGGGGGGUAGAAUUCCACGUGUAGCAGUGAAAUGCGUAGAGAUGUGGAGGAAUACCGAUGGCGAAGGCAGCCCCCUGGGCCAAUACUGACGCUCAUGCACGAAAGCGUGGGGAGCAAACAGGAUUAGAUACCCCUGGUAGUCCACGCCCUAAAGCGAUGUCAACUAGUUGUUGGGGAUUCAUUUCCUUAGUAACGUAGCUAACGCGUGAAGUUGACCGCCUGGGGAGUACGGUCGCAAGAUU
rnacentral:rRNA from 1 species